CUUGUCUGAUAUUGUUUCAGAUUUCGGCAUAGACAAAACGUAUCGCUUCCGAGGUCGUUUGGCUUCCCUUGGGGUAGAUAGUGCUGGUCGUGUCAACGUGACUGGCUGUGUCGUGGUGAUUGGAGGCUCAUGAUGUGUGGUAGCGGGGCGAGUUGCUGUCCUACAAUGCCUUGGAGAUGACCACAGAGAAGUUGGUUUACAAUGUGAGGUUCCUGAUUUGGAAUCUGGUUCGGAAGACUCUUACUUUGUUCUCCGACCGGACAGUGUCCCUCAAGUUCGAUUUGGAUAGGCCACAGUUUCCCAAGACUUCAUCUUUAUACCUCAACAUUAUUGUCUGCUGUCUUUGACAUCACUCGUACUUUAGAUUCUCUACACUGACCACCACAAGAAUUAAG